AUGCUCACACCGGAGGCCACGAGAGAGUUCACAAGCCUUUGGACUGAAAUCAGCCCGACCUUGCUGAGUACGGAGCCAGACUCGGUCUCGUGGAGAUGGACGGCUGAUGGGGUUUACAGUGUGAGAUCGGCGUAUAUCAUUCAGUUCGAGGGUAGCUGCCAGGCUAGCUUCGACAAAUUCAUUUGGAAUUCGGAUGCCCCUGGGAAGAGCAAAGUAUUCGGGUGGCUCGCUCUCCUUGGACGCUGCAACACGGCCGACGUGCUCGCCAAAAAGGGUUGGCCGCAUGACUCUGCCUGCACUCUUUGUGCUGGCCCGAUGGAAGACGCCGCCCACCUUCUCGCUUCCUGCCCGUUCUCCGUCCAGAUCUGGCAGGGUUUUUUGCGAAGAUGCAACCUGUCGCUCGGCCUUGCCCCCUCUGCCACCACCACCUCUCUGAUGAUUUGGUCAGACCACUCCUAUGGCAUGUUCCCAGCAAAGGAGAGGAAAGCUUGGAGCUCCCUGGUUCAGCUCGUAUGGUGGAACUUAUGGAUCGAACGGAACGCAAGGAUUUUCAGGAACCAACGCUCUCCUGUCGUGGCUCUGAUCGCCAAGAUCGUAGAGGAGGCAGCCGUUUGGAGUAGGGCAGGCAGAUGGAGGGCCAACUCACUGCUAGAUAGACCUAGGGAACCAGACUAG
rnacentral:rRNA from 1 species